GAAUGCACGCAUUUAUACGCACAUAAUUUCAGAGCUGUAAGCAAUUCAUCUGCUCACUGAAUAUGAACAUUUUUCCAUUAUAAGGACAACAUAAUAAUGACAAAAUCCUGUAUCAUCCUCCACCAAACAAAAGUUACGACAUAGUUAUUCGUUGACAAUAAUAAUUUAUCAUUGAAAAGUCUACUGAACAAUAAACAAUGAUGAUAGAAUAAAGAAAGGAGUGUAGAGUCGACGAAUUUUUAAAUUUCGAACGAAAUUGUACGGAAAUUGUAUAUGAUUCAUACAAAACAGCAUGUUGACACGUUUAUUAACAGCUUAUAAAUUUAUAAUGCUUACGUGUUUUUUCUGUGGAUAUUGCUAUUUCUGUUACGAUUUAUGUGGCAACAGUCCUGCCACCGCAGUGAAUUUGCUACAAUGUGUAAACUUGCAAAAAAAUUGUUUACAUGCAUAUGUGUUUAUUAAUUAUUUAUGAAAGAAAAAGGUCAGAGGAAAUACUAAUCUGAUUUAAUUACGCAUUUUAAUGUGUAUGCAGAUUUGAUGUUUAAUCUAUGAUUUUUCUUAGAAACCGUUUCGCAUAAUGAUUACGUUUGCGUAUCCUAUAAUCUUCUUCUCUACGACUUGAAAGCUACUAACCGUCGUUCAUUUGAUAUCCUUCUGCACUAUGUUGCUCAAGCUGACAUAUUUUCAUCCGUGUAAAGAGAUGAAGCCAAGCACAGGAAUAUUUCGACCGAUUUUCCUCAACGAGGAAAGGAGUCUCAAAAGAACCAUGAAUGCAGACCCUCACGAAACACCUCGUUCUUUAGGGUCCACAACAUUGGAUUUCGCACGUAAUUAGAUUCAAAAUGCGAUAUGUAAAAAUAUGCAUAUAUU